GGGGCCGCCUGACGCCACAUCCGGCGGGCGGGGGUUGGAGCGCGGCUCCGGCGUGCUGCCCGCCGCGGGGGUCGUGCUGCGCCCGCUGUUGGUCGAGGGGCCGCCGCUGGCGGAGGUAACAGGCGGAAAGUUACGCCCGGCGGUGGCUGAUCGUCUCCCCCUGCGGCCGCCUGUCGCGGCACCGCGCGCCUCCGGGGGAAAAUAAAAAUCCCACCGCCAGCGGUGGGGGAGCUGCCUGGCUGCCGCCAUCUUGAGGCGGGGAGGAUGGAGUGGGCCGACCCCGCCGGGUUGCGGCCAUCCGGCUUGGCCCCAGCCGGACGUCUUUUUGGUGAGGCGGAGGGCCGCGGUGGGGCCGAGGCCCUGGGGCACCUUCGUUCUCCCUCCAGCCGCCUUAUCUCGGUGCCGGCCUUGAGCUGUGUGCGGCCGGUGGGGCUGCGGCGGCCGAGAGUACGGAUCUGGGACAGAGCGGUGAGAAUCCCACUGCCAACAACCCGCGCCUCUGUUGGAUUGGGAUGUGUGUUUAGGAGACAGGCGAGAUGGAGAUUGAGGCUGUUUUCUGGCUGUGUUACAGUUUCAGCAUAUCCAGUGGGCAGUGCAGUGUUCCUUUGUAGCCCUGGUGCAUCCCCAUCUGCAUCUCUUUGCUAGCCUGUGAAGUGUCUGUGAAGUGUCUUAGCAUUGUGUCUGCAAUCUAUGGCCAGCAGUGCUUGCCUGUUAGCCAUGUAAAGCACGUAAUUAACUGAGGUCUAUUAACCCUUCCAUGUCCCUUCAUCUUAUUAUCUGUACACAACUCGACAACUGACAUUUCUCAUACCAGUUCCUAUAAACACCUCCUACUUGCCUCCCAAACCCUACAGCUACUCCAUUACAGCUGUCCGUACAGACUGAAAUUGCUCUUACAUACUGAACAGAAGUAUCUUCAACCUGCAAAUAGAUGUACUGUGAUUUUUCAAGGCCCUGUGUAACCAUCGUAGCUCUAACAACUGCCUACAAAAAAUCACUGGAAAAUCUGAAAGUAUGUAAAAAUCUAACCUCAGUCAGCAGAGCUUCAUGUCUACAGCAGAACAAUCUUGAAUAGUAAAACAGUGCGGUUUUACAGAUGAAACUAAGUCGUUCUACCGUUACUGGGGAACCUAAUCUGAAAUGCUGUUUGCAGUAACUACUCCAUUUGGCUAUUCAGCCUUUGAAUCUCUUGGUGAUUGAAGAGCUUACCUUCACUUACCUAUGACAGUAGCCUUGUCAAUCAGAAACACUAAGAUGAGAUGCAACCAUAAAAAGUCUAAUAAAAACAGAUAGCAUCGCCUUAUAUAGUUCAUUUGAAGGCAAACUGUAUUUCAGUAGACAUCUCGCACCCUAUUUAUCCAGCAAAUACAAGUUACUUUAUUUAGCUGGUAAUGCACUGAAAGCUUGGAGGAUUUGUGCUUUUAUUGACUUCUCAGUUUCAUGUGAACAAUAUAAAGGACUGAGGAGGACACUGAGUAAUUUCAGCAAAAAAAAAAAAAAAAAAUUGUUGCCAGAAGGAUGUGACUAAGUCUGUGGUAAUGCUUUACCAACUUUCAUCCUAUCUAUGCUGGUAAAGAAAGUUUUUAUGUCAAGGAUUUUACUACUUGUUACUGUACCGUCCUUUCUCUUAUGUCAGGUUGUUGCUUGCAUGCAUAUUUUCUUGACAAGAUGAACAAAGUGACCUGUCAUAAAGUUGAAGGAUAAAAUCUCUUGGCUAUUGGUUUGUGUUCUUAAAUCAUGGAACUUUAUGUUUCUGUCCUUGUUGAAAGAUCAAAUCAAACCUAGUCAGGCCUUGGCGUAAAUGAUAAAUAUAUAUAUGCAUUUAUUACUACCCUUGAGUUAAUGUGUUUGCAGAAUGUUUAAAUCUAUGUUAACAUCUCAGUCUCUUAAAUACAUAUUCACUUGCUAUGUCAGAAGGAGGGUCAUAGCUUCUUUUGUUAAUGGGAAAUUGUUAAAUCACUUCAAUGUUUUGAUCCUUCCAUCUAUGAAAUUUGUUUGCAGAGCUGUCUGCAUUAAUCAGUCAAGGCCUAACAGAAACUGAAGUUCUGCUUCAAAACAAAGCAAAUACAUAUAUAUAGAUUUUUCUCAAAAUUCAGAAUGUGAAUUUUUGGUCUUUAUCAAAGUACACAUCUCAAUAUUUGAAGAAGUGUCAUUUUUUUCUUAGCAACAUUUAGAUAUUUCCAGAUAAACAGUAGAAACAUUAAAUCACUUCAUACAACUACUGUAACUAAUGACAGUAUUAAACAACCUUCCAAAUUAAAAUAUGAAAAAUGUGUUCAUUAAAAGCGGUUGUAGUGCUAAAAACAUUGUAAUUUGUAUUUAGAUGCAAAAUACACUGUAUUCCUCAAAAUAAUUUUAUGGCUUUGCACAUGGACAAGUAAUAAUCAAAAUAAUUAACCUUUUCCAACAAUGAAUUAAAACAAGGUUGGACAGACAUCACCUGUACUUCAAAAAAUAUUACUUUUUGUUUUCAGACUGAAAACUUCAACACUUCUACAAAUAAUUGAUUCUGUAUGAAGGAAUUUAUAGUGAAAUCUCUUAUCCAGAAAAAGAUAACAGAGGAGAUGCUACUCCUAUCAUUUUUUUUCUGAUUAUAGAUUUUAAUGACAUCACUUUUUGAUCUUCAGCAGAAUUACAUUCCUAUCCCUUCCGUCUUUUGAGAGAAGAAUUCAUUAAGAGCAGCCCUGUGGAGAAGGACUUGGGCGUCCUAGUGAAUGGAAAGCUUGGUCCAAGCCAGCACUGUGUUCUGGAAGCCCAUUAUCAGCAGUGUCCUGGGCCAGUCACUCCUCAUAGGACCUCUAAUGGCUAGAAACUAAAAGAGUGGAGAUUUAGAUUAGCUAAUAGGAGGAAAGUUUUCAGUCAGAGGAUGAUGAGACACUGGCACAGGCUGCCCAGAGAAGCUUUGGUUGUCCCAUCCCUGGAGGUGCUCAGGGCUAAGCUGGAUGGGGCCCUGGGCAGCCUUAUCUAGUGAGUGGCAAUCCUGCCUAUGGCAAGGGCUUGGAACUAGAUGAUCUUUAAGGUUCCUUCCAACCCAAGCCAUUCUGAUUCUAUGAUUCAGGGCUUUUUCCGAAAUAAGGAAUACUGCAGAGCUUGACUAUUUCUUACAAGGUCAUAAUUAGUCCAUCUAGUAUCUCAUACAAUGAAGUCCAUUCUUUUGUUAAAUCUGCUUCAUAUUUUUUUUACAUUUCCAAAUGAUUUUCAGAUAUAGUCUGUCAUUUGUAGCAUAUCUAAGAAGUACUACAACACGUUCCUCUCAUCCAUACUGUGCAGAACAAUUUUCUAUGUAUCUUAUGAAAUAGUAUAAAGGCAAGGCAAAAUACUAAAGUGUGUAAGAGCACUCAAACUGUUUCAGACUGAGGAUGCAUCUAACAUAGCAUUCCCAGUUCAUAGAAGUGAAUAUCUAAAGAAGUGCAAGAACAAACACGUGUAUUUCACUAGGUAUCUUUGCCACUCUGUGACCCAGGGAUUUUCUAAAACCUUCAUAAUCUGUCUUUUUUAUCACCUUCAGAAAAUCUAUUCCAAGAAUUUGUCAAGUUUCCCAUGAUACUCACAUGCAUUCACGUGAAAGAUGCAGCAUCUUUUUUUUAAGAAGAGACAUGCUGUAUGAAAAAAAAAAAGCCAUUUUGCAUUCUCUGAAGUCUAGUCGUUGUCUUCUGUCUUUUUUGUUCUAGUGAAUACUCACCAUGGGGAGAAGGCAAAGAAGAUAUGUCUAGACAUUAUCAAGAAUUAGGCAACUAAGUACAGAAGUAUAGGCUGUGCUGUCUGGCUCCUUGUCAUGUUUCUUUCAUUACCCGUGUAAGUAUGCAGACAAGCACACAGUUCUUCUUAGGUAAAUUAGUUAUUAUCAUCUGAUCAGUAAAUACUAUUAAACACCUAUAUUAUGCUUUCUUAUAGCCACAACAAGUCACUCACUGCCCCUUGAGCAUUUUGUCUCCCUCAUGAUGCCCUCUUGGCUUGGCACUCUGGAUACCUGUAGUCCAGCUAUGUGUUAUACAAGUUCUCUGAAUGCCUGUUAAUAUGUUGGAUUUUUAUAGCUUUAGGUGGGAUUGGCUUGGUGCAUAAUCUCAGUUCCUUGUUGUUCAUGUGAACAGUAUGUCCUUUUUAGUGCUGAUUUAUCUUCUAUGGAGUCCUUGCCAUUUGUUUGGGACUAAUGUCUGUGUCAUUCUGUACCAGAUAGCUGAGGAAUGGGGACUCCUUUGUCCCUAGUGGCUCGACUGCCAGCGCAGCCUGCAUGUUUGACCCUGGGAGUGAGAGCUGUUGGCCAUACUGCCUCUCUGUCCAGAAGAAUCAAUGGGUAUAUCCACCUUGUGGUUUCCCAGGCCCUCCAUAAUUUGGGCACUACUCCAGUACUGCUCUGGAAGUCCUGGGUUCUGACAAAGAUUAGUUUAUGUCUUUUCCACUGUAGCCUAGCUUCCUGUCCUCUCAUCAGCUAAUGAUGAGACCAUUGCUAGCUGACUACCAGUUUGAUAUCUUGCUAAUACUGCUAAUACUCUCUCCACACAGUUUUACAAGUGUUUUUUUCUGGAAUCCCUGUCAUUUCCCGUAAAGUACCCUGUUGACAUUUCUGAGACAGAAGACACUGGCAGUACUAUCAUUUGCAGGGACAAUGAAAGAGCAAGAUGGGAAGAACGGGAGGCUCACGGUGAAGAGCAAACAUAAAACUGAUGACAGCUGGCUUUAUGUGCAUGAGAAGCACUCCAAGAAGUGCCAUAAGCUUUACAUUUUUAAAGCUUUCUGCUGAUAUCUCUGUAGUUGCUGCACACUAAAGGGAGGGUUUAACAGAGAUGCAGCCCUCUAGCUGGGUUUAGGCCCUUUCAUCUGUAUUAGCAACGUACUAUGCACAGUCAAGGAAUGCACCUUCCAGUUUUCUUGUAUUGGAAAGAUGCACUGAAAAGGGAAGUGACAUUUUCAUGCACCAAAACUGCAUUGUGAAGAGAGUAAAAGCACAGCAAGUGGGGAUGAUAAGAGAUUUGCCUUGGCCAUGCACUGCUGGUAUGAGAGAAAAUGCUGUAGUAGUUGUAUCCUUAGUUUGGAAACCUGACACAUUAAUCAGUUUUUAAUAUCUAUUAUGGUUUGGUUACAUUAAGUUUGUUAUGGACCAGUAUCAUACACAGAAGUAUCAGUAACGAUUUGAUAAGCACUAGUGUGAAGUCUUUCUGUGCCAACAGCAUCUAAUGAGCUUCCACAGCAAGAGACCUCUAGCAGUGUGGGACCAUCUGAUCCAUCUCAGGUGUGCAGAGAACCCUCACCAGGCUGCUAAGAACAAGAACAUUGGUGGGAACAGGCAGGAGCAUGGGGUGGCAACACAGUGGGGAGGCUGGUGACUGACACACUUGGGCACCACAUCUGUUAGUUAAGGCCUUUGCCUUAAGGCCUUUUUCUCAAAGAGAAAAGUGAAUGGACAAGAAAUGUGGUUUAGACAGCCAUUAGAAUAAGGAGUAAGACAUUUUGGAGUUGUUGUUCUUCAGACUCAUCCUUUUUUUUUGUUUUUGUUUUUGCUUUUUGUCCCCAAGCACUAUCUUAUUUCCUCAAAGCAUAUGAUGCAUGAAAUGCAAGACUACCCCUAUUACAAGUGCUCCUAUAUCAAAAUAUCAUGUUUUUUUACAAGUUUAUAUAAUUUUACUGUGUUACAAUCUGUUAAAAAAAUCCUUGCAUAUUUGUACGUUGUAGUCAAAAAUGUUUUCUUAGAUUUCUAGUUUUCAUAGAACUUAAUGCAACACUUAAAGAAGAGUAUAAAGAAGAGCUUUUUUUUCAAAAAUUGAGAGAUGUAAAAACUUUAAAUGUUACUAGUUUCUGGUGGUCACUUUUUUCCUUUCUAAUGAGAGUUAUCAAAAAGAUGCCUCCGUAAUGUAAAAGUUAACUUUGGACAUUUGAGUCAUGAAGACUUUAUGGAAAGAGUAAAGGAAAAACAAGGAGAAUUUAUUUUAAAAAGGUAAUUUAAAGGCCUUUCAACUCAUUAUGCUUAGGAAUUUCUUAAAUAGGGAAAUAAUGUGCUUAGAAUUAAGUUGAAACAUUUGAUUACUCAUAUAGGAUUUUUCUUAGAUGAAGAUAUGCAAUAUUAAUUGUAGGCUUCUUUUUAGAAUAAUUUUGUUCUUCACUUAGAAAAAAAACUAAAAAAACCUCUUUUGAACUAAUGAUUGAUGAAAUAACGAUGAAGAUUAUGAACUAGUGAUUGAUGGUCAUGUUAAUGUGAUUAUGAAUGAACUAUGUAUUGUUGGCAGAAGAUUUUUUACAGUAUUAACCACAUCUGUCUGCCUUCUGAAGAAUAACAGGACACGUGCAUUUAUCAAUUCACAAUAUCAGGCACAGACCAAUGAAAAAAUAAGUUGUAUCCCUAAGUGUGAUAAUUUAGCAGAUAAUUCCCAUAAAACUUUUAUAUUACUAUGUUCAUUGAGAUGUUGUUUUCAAAACAUAAACAUAAAUUUCAGGUCCUGUUCUUUCUUGCUGAGCAUUAACUGCUAUGUGCUAGCUGAGGUAUUUUCUUAAUCUGUUGUGAAUCAUAGAAAUCCUAUUGCACUUCAGAACUUGGUAUGUAUUUCACAAGGUAUUAAAAGCAGCGUAUGCAUAAAUUGCAGUCUUACUUUUCAACAUUUUUAAGAAAAACAUGAGUUGAAUUUCUGAAUUUUGUACAAGGUUUUAGAUGAACACAUUUUAAAAUUAUCAUGAUUAAAUGCAUGUAUCAUUAAUUGGAAUUAUUUUAAGUAUCUGUAGCAUGUUUUGUCUUUUAUCUUUGGCAAGAUAUAGGGGGAACUGUAAAAUCUAGAUUGUGCAAGGUGCUCACUGCCAACUUGAGUGUCUCUUCAAAUAUGUUAUCAUCCAAAGGAGAAUAAAUACUGUUUUUGAAAGUAGGAGAACAGAAGUAUCAAGAGUAAAGAUUUUAUCGAGGAUCACACACUGACCCAUUAGAAGAACAAGAGAUUUGGAUCCCCAUACUCUGAACUAUGAUUGGAAUAUUUGACUUCUGGAACUUGGUAAGUAUCACACAACUUUAUAUAUCUUUAAAGCAGACAUUUCAUGACAGAAUUGUGCCCCGAGCUUUGUGCUAUCAAGGAUCAGGCACUAUCUCUGUGUCCAUUCAAAGUGUACAAUGAGCAAGUUUGUGUUCAGUAGCUGCAGAGAGUCAAGAAGUAAUUUUAGCAUGUAAUCUAAAAGCUCACCACUUCUAUAAAAUUGCAUGCAUUGUUUCGCUAUAGAUAGAGGAGAAGAAAUUUAACUGAAAAUGCAAGUAAAGCUGUGGUCCUGGUUUGUGUAUUGGAGAGCGUCCAUACAACUUACAGGAAGAUUUAGUUGGUGUGGGAUGGACUCAGUGUCCCACUUGAAGGCUGUAACACACAACUCUCUGAAGGUAGCCUGUGCACGGUGUUGCACAGUCAGACUUUUUCUCCUGAUAAAUCCAAAAUGCAGACCAUCAGAGUCACAAGGCGCUUGACUGAUUCCCCUUGGUAAUAGUCAUUCUUUGGGUCACUGAGAACAAAAUUGUGGGACAGAGUAGAAGGAGCAUCAUGAAGGUACAUUUCUGCAAAUAAGAAUGGAGAGGACUGUAAGAGGAAGGAGAUAGUAUGUCCUAAGUGAACGCCUAAAAGAAAACAAAGAGCUAAGUUUUCUUAGCAGCAGCACAUCUGAUACUUUUUAAUAUUAAGCAUCUUAGCAGACAAUAUUGUUGUAGGUAGAACUUCAAGGGUCAUAAAAGAAUAAGCUAUCAUAUAAAAUAUUUGUUACACAUAACAAAUUUUUACACACUGUAGCUUAUUACACCUUGCCUCUUUUGUUACAUGAUACUGUUUUGCUGUGUGUUUGCUGUUACAUUUCCUUGCAGGAUGCUGCUAUUGCGUCUUGCUAUUGAGUUGUACAGCAAAGGAAGCCUUUAUGGUGGUGUACAAAGGUUAGGCACGGGAUGUCCCAGUAUCCUCAGCCACACAUUUUGUAUGUAAAGACUGCAGGACAGAAACUUUCUAUUAUGCUAUGCAAAAAGCCAAAUCAUGACCAAAAGAGAGGUAGACAAAGCAAAAUCAGUAAAAGAGAGAGUGAUUGAAAUGACUGAAAGAGUGAAGAAUUGCGGAGAGAGGUAGGAGAGGUCUUAGUACAACCAGCAAAAGGUCAGUGUGUCUGAGUCAGGUAAACAAUGGGGUUCUGCAUGAGUCUUUCCAUUUUUCAUAGCAUGGGAGUGUGGCAGAGGCCUUGGAGGAAGGAACUCACGCAGCUGUAACUUGCAGCCUGUGUGAGAAGUCUACACUGGUCCUGACUGAUGGAAGGAGCUGAGAAGCUUCCAGGGGUCAACUAAAUGCCGUCCUUCAGCCUACUCCUGCUGUUUCCCCUGCAGCCUGAAUUUGAUCUUUUUCCAAUUACUCCUCUGUUACAUUUUAAUAUUAUGUUUAUCGUAUCAGGAAACUGUUUGCCCACAGACGUGAAAUCAGUAAUAAAACAAUUAGCAGAGACAUGCUUUCAUCUCCUUCACAGUAUUAAAGUGAAUGGUAGUCCCGUAUUUGAGGAUAAAGGCUGUGAUUUGAUAUUAAAAUGGAGAGAGGCAAAGUAGUUAAAUUAAGCACUAGCAGUCACCAGGGAGGCUGACCUCUGCGGUCUUAGAGAUCUGUGAGCUAGCUGGCAUCACACUCGGUGGGCUCACGUCACAGAACAGCAUCACAACAAAACUGUAAUCAAUCCUACUAAGACUCAGGCAUGUGUAUUUUAAAGCACAAUGUGAAGCACAGUAGAAUAAUUAUUGUGUUUCAAGUGAAAAUAAAAUCACAGCUGCAGAACUAAGCCUUCAAAUCUUUUUGAUUGUACAAAUUAUUCAAUUUUUUUUUGAAUGAAAAUUGGAAAAAUCCUUAGUUAAGACUGAUCUAAAAAUAUUUGGCUUUCCUUCCACAUUUAAGUAAAAGAAUCUAUCCUUAAACCUUUUCUAACCCUCUUUUUGUCCUGACGGCACUUUUGCCUUCUCUCAGGAUCAUUAGUUUAUUUGUAGCAAAGCAAGAUCUAUCCCUUCCAUGUAAAAACAUAAAAUUAGAUUGCAUUUUAGUUGCAGUCAGUAAAUACAUCCAGUAAGUUUACUUUCAUUUCUAGAUAUCUGUAGUUGAUUCUUGAAUUGUACUUAAGGCAUUUAUAAUGAUCUUCAACUCUAAAUGUAUAGUAUCGUAUUUAACAGAAGUGUUCAUAGCACACUGUUAACUGUUAUCCAGCCUUACACAGCCAUUCACAAACAAGGCUAAAUAUGGAAAAGAGCUUCUGUUGUAAAGCAUGAAACAAGCAGGUAACAAUAUGGGAAUAAAUUAAGCUUCUAUAUGAAUGCAGUUAACCUAGCCAGUUAAAACUGAAACUUAUGGAACCACUACCUUCUGCUCAUUUUUCUCAUGCUAGCCGGUUACAAAGUAUCUGUUAUCAACAAAUCAGGAUGGCCUUGUUUGGAGUCAGAUGUUGGACUCCAUAAUCCUUGUGGGUCUCUUCCAACCUGGGAUUUUCUGUAAUUCUAUGGUAAAGUUUAUCCAAAAUUUUCAGGCAUGUACUGAUUUUGAUCUAUCAUAUGUAAAACUCUAAAAAAAGGAAAGUGAAUAAAACAGAGUUUUAAGAGAAUACUGCCCUAGUUUAAGAUAUUUAUCGUUAUCAUUCUGAAUAAUUUAAUUACAGAUUUUAAAUUGGCUUUUUCUCAAGACAGCAGUUCUACAAAGGAAACUUGGAUAUUGAACAAUAAUGAACAAAGAGCUCCACACAUUUCCCCACCUGUUUUUGCAAUUGUUGAAAUAAAAAUAACAAAGGAGAAAGAAAAUGUUAUUUUCUGCAACACUGGCCCUUGCAACAAAGGUUUUUGGAAUUAUUAAGUUUGAUUUCCUUAACCAAAAUCUUUCUCAGUGUUCAUCACAUUCUCCUAGAUCUCUCCUCUUGAGAUUGGUCCUAAAAAAUAGAGGAGAUACUUAAAAUAUGCUUAAAUAAGGCCUGUGUCUUUGUAUUAUCACAGUGUUACAGAAUUGGUUGGGCCACAUCCCCCAAAGCCACUUACUGUCAGCUGGUGACUUGUGGUGCCAGCUCCAGCUUCUCCCUAGCAGAAGAGGAAAUGGAGAGAUGUGCAGAACAUAUUCUCUAUUUUUGUCCUGACUUGCUGCCAAUGUUUGGAUUAACAGCUCUAAGUAUCUUAUUGUAGGGUUCUUGAUUCAAAGGAAUACAUUUAACGAAUAGCUACACUACUUCUGAAGUAGUAAUCAUACUCCAGCUGUGUAAAUUAAAUAACCACCUAAACAAACUGAACGUGGUAAAUCAGUGACCUCAAAGAGUGGCUUUGAGCUGUCGUCUUGGCCUUCUGUCACUUUCAGUAAUUGCUAGUUGGAUUGAAGUUGAAUGUGAAAUGGAAGUUUCUUCUCAAAAGUGAGUAACUCUUGGAGUGUCCUCCAAAACAAAAAUUGAAGGUAUGUCUCCUGGGCUGGAAGGAACCAUCUGUGGUAAAGCUACUAAUCCUUGUGAUGUUUAGUGAAAUCACUUUUGGCUGGAAACUACUGAAAGAUGCUGAUGCUCCCCGGUUCUGAAGCAUUCACAAGAAGAGCCAAAACUUGUUAUGAUGAUGGCAAAGAUGAUCAGAUACAGUGUUCAUUAGUUGUGACAAUAGACAGAGCUGUUGCUCUGGAGUGUUGUCUUUCCUUUUAAAGUGAGUAGCUGUGAGAAAAACAAUAACAAAGCUGUGUAGUUCUCAUUUCUUCUUAUCUCAGCUAGACCAGGGCUUGGGGAAGUGAUGUUGUAUUGCCAGUGGAGUGCUGCACGUCAGUGUUCAGCAAAACAAGUAGAAGGUGUCUUACCAUGUUUCCCAAGCUUAAGCAGAUGAAUAGCGCUCUGAGGUUGGUACAGUCAACACUGCGUCUUCGCAGUCUUUUGAGCACUGUUCUUACUGCUCGGAGCUGCUUUCAAACACCAUCUGUUGUCACAUGAUUCUGCAUGCCAGAUCCUCAUUAGAUGUCUUUCUUGUUUGUUUUAGAUACUGAAGAAUGAAAGAGGUAUUAGAAAAUUGCAAACCAAAGGAACUGAACAUGUAGCAAGUACAAUGAAAUAAAGAAGCUUUCUAUGCAUAUUCCUGCUUUUUGCAGCAAUAGAUUAAGCACUCCUCUGCCUUAAGCUGUGGAAAAGCCAGCUCCACCUGCUGACGUUUCUGUCUGCUCUUCAAAGACCUUUGAAGAAAUUACUCAAAAGUGGCAUCUAGUCUCAUUUCCCAGUGGAAACGUGAAAUCCAGAAACACUGAGAAGGUAUUUCUAAGCUUAAAAACUAUAGAUCAAAUCAUCCUGUGUUCAAUUUGUGUAGGGUCUGGGGUGGGGAGGGGGGGGGGGGGGGGAAGUGUAUAUUUUCUUUUUUAGGAUUUCUCAGUCAUUCAGUAGAUUCACAGUUCCUUAAAACAUGACUUUCAUCAGAAAGCCUGCCAUGAGAAAGUCUACAAUCAGAAUGUCUACUAAAAGAAGUACCUUCAAUUAUGCUUAUAGAGAGCUAUUAAUUUGAUUUUGGCCUUUCUCAGUUCUAAAGUGUUGUGUCUGUCUGUUCACUUCUUAUUCUGUUUUCUAUGUUGCAGAUACUCAAAUAUUUUGAUAUUUAAAGUAGAGCAUAUUGUGUUUUACAAAUAAUUUUUUCCAGAAAUGACACAGAAUUUGUAAUCUUAUCUCACAAUGCAACAUUAAUGUACUUGGUCCAUCAGGCUUUUUUUAUUAUUAUUAUUCAAUACUAAUGUGUGCUCAGUCUCACUGAGGUAGUGCACUUGACUGGGAUAGAAUCAGGGUUUGAAUGUGAAUGACUCACAAAUUCUGAGCAAAGCUUGGUUUGCAGCCUCACAAGAACUGCUUCUGGCUGCUGUAGAGCAACUCAAAGCCACUGAAAGCACGCUCUGGGUCAGAUAAGAAAACACAGCUAUGUUGAAACUCCUCCAUAAGGGCAUCAUGUCACUGUGCAAUAACUGUUGGGUUUAUUGAUAAAGCCUUUAUUUUCAGAUGGAUAAGGCACUGCUGGCUUUUUUUUUUUUUCAAUUUUUGAGCAGUUUCGUAGAAGCAAAGCUGAUUUUCAGAAUAAUUUCAGAAUGGAUCAAGUCAAGAAACAAGGGAUCAAGUGCAAGUGGAUGACAGAACUUGAUGAUGGGCAGAUUAUGCAAAAAGAUAAAUUAAUAGAGCUAUUUAAAAAAAAAAAAAGAAAUUUUACUCCUCCAUAUAUAGGCAUCAUCUGUAAAGACCACUACUAACACUGCUCAACGAAGUAGGAUUUCUCCAUAUCUUAAUACUUUUCAUGAAUGUGCACAAAAUUCUGUGACGAGCUUCUAAUCAAACCAGAAAAGUUGCCUACAGAUCUCUAAAGAUUUCUUCUUACGUAUACAUAUGAAUAUUUGCAAAUGCUUUAGUUGAGCAUGAGCUGCAGUGAUUUUAGAAAAAUUAGAUGUAAUUAAUGUCCACAUAAUUCCUUUAGCCUGUAUAUCUUACUGUUCUCUAUCCCCUUCCUCUGCUGUUGAAUGUUACUAUCUCCUCUGCCAUCUCAGAACAUUAACAACUUUAAUUUUAUUGUUGGUUUAUAUUCUGGUAUUAUUAAAUCACAGCGUGAAAUAAGUUACUGUAGGUACACUGACCCACAGAAGAUAGUGCUUCAGAGGAAGAUACUGCUGCAGAAGGUUCUGCUCCUUUGCAGUGCAGACUGUGGUGAAAAUGGACAGCAGUCUAUUCUCCACAGAAAUUUAAUUCAGCAGCUUCAGAAAGUUUCAGAAAGCACAGCAUUAUAUCACUAACUGUUGAAGAAUUUUUGAAGUUGGAGGGAAUUUGGAGAAGAGAAAUAAUUAAAACUAAAACUCUGAGUACAUCUAUCUUUUACAUGUCAAAAAUGGAGCAGGCAAAAAUCAUCUCUGCAUAAGCUUGUACAAAUCUUUUUCCAUUCUCUCCUCCUGCCUUCCCCCCAAAAAGACAUAUAUUAAAUUAUUUAUUUUGUAAUCCUGCUUUGUCAGGUGUGUGUUUCUUGAGCAUCUUCAAACUACAAAUAACAUGAAAAGAGUUUGAAAUAUGUGACAGAGAAUAAUCCUCCAACAUAUGUACUCAAUCGUUAUUUAAAAUCUCAUUUGAUUUUCUAUUUUGUUUCCUUGUUUUAUUUUUUUCAUCUUUUGCACAUAAGAUUGUUGGUGGUUGCCAUGGAAAUUCUAAUUGAUUCCUUUCUACAGUUUUUGCAACCGUUCAGAGGGAAACCCUUCUUUAUACCAUUUUAAUUACAGUAGAACAAAUGAUCAUACCAACUGCUAUUCAGCACUGUAAUGCAGCACCAUCUUCAACACAGUCUUUUGUUUAAAUGACCACAUUUUUAUUAGGAAUAACUCUUAUAUGUUCUUCUUGACUACCAUCUGAGAGGUAUGGCCUGUCUUAUUUAUUCACACAGGUAAGGGACAUCUUUAGACAUCUGACAUAUAAUCAUUUUCAUCUGUAAAUAUGUCAACACUUUCUUCUCCCUGAGCAAAGAAAAUGUUGUUUCUAUUAAUCUCUCUCCAGUGUGCUGAUGCAAAUACAUUUUUACUAACUUGUGUUGUUAAUCACCUACCUGUCACGUGCAGCCCUCUUUGACAAACUAUAAAAUUUUCAUGGCUCCUUUCAGUUUUGACUUCCCAUAUUUUACUUCUUCACCCUCAGAAAGUCAUCUAUCUCCUCUACUUUGCCCAUAGUUUUAGCCUUGGUUGUAUGUUUUUCAUAUUUACAAAUAAAUAUUUCCGACUACUUCAUUAUGCUUAGAUGAAACUUUCAGUAAAUAUCUACAGGGCUAUUCUACUUUGCAAAUGUGACCAUAAAACCAAGGGCAUCUUCAAGGACCUGCGUGGAAUUGUCCUUCUUCGUUCAUGGUUUUAAAAAUGCUGUUAAACAUUAAUAUUUAAAUUUUAUUUUCAUUUUGGGCAUCAAAUAAUAGAAAGAAAACAGAGCAUUUCUUGGGUUAUGCUACUCUCCAUACUUCAAAACCUAUUGUGGUUUGCCAAGCACAAACAUUCCAGCUCUGUGUAAUAUUGUCAUAUAUAUAUAUCUGUGUAGCAUAGGAAGUAAACAGGGAACUGGAACUUUCAGCCCAGACUCAGGACUGUGAUACUAUAGGCCUCAGUGAAAUGUGGUAAGAUAGCUCACCUAUUUGGAGUACUGUUAUAGAUGGUCACAGGCUCUUCAGGAGAGAGGGAAAGGGUAGCCGCCUACCUUAAGGGAAAAUCUUGACUGUAUGGAGAUUAGUGAUGAAAAGAUCAAGUGUUUCUGGGUGUCAAGGGACAGGCCAAUAAUGGAGAUAUUGUGGUAGAAGUGUGUUACAUACUACCCCAUCAGGAUGAAGAAGAAUAUGAAAUAGUCUAUAAGUAUCUAGGAGAAAUGAUAUGAUUGCUAGCGCUCAUUCUUGUGGAAGAUUUAAACUUCCCAAACAUCUGCUGGAAAUACAAUACAGAGAGAAGAAACAGGCCAGAAGAAUUAUGGAAUGUGUGGAGCAUAUCUUCCUAAAGCAGCUGGUGAGGAAACUGACUAAAGAAGAUGUCACAGUUGACCUGUUUGACAGGGAAGGUAUCAUGGAUGAUGUGUUGUUAGUUGGAGGCAAUCUUGGGCAUAGUGAUUGCAAGACUGAUAGAUCUGAAUGCACCGUCAGUAAUUUGCUGAUGAAACAAAGCAGGAAGGAGUGGCUGGUGCACCAGAAGGCUGUGCUGCCUUUCAGAGAGAUCUGGACAGGCAGGAGGGUUGGGUAGAGAGGAACCUUCAAUAGGAGCAAGUGUAGAGUCCUACACCUGGAAAGGAAUAACUGCACACAUCAGUAUUGGUUAGGGGAUGACAUUCUGGAAAGGAGCUCUGCAGUGAAGGGCCUAGGUAUCCUGAGGGGAAAAAGAUAGGCCAUGAAUCAAUAGUGUGCCCUUGUGGCCAAGAAGAUCAAUGGUAUCCUGGCAUGCAUUAAAAAUGAUGUGUCCAGAAGGUUGAGGGAGGUGAUCCUGCCCCUCUACUCUGUGCUUGUGAGGUCAUAUCUGGAGUACUGUGUCCAGGUCUGGCCUCCUCAGUUCAAGAACUUCUAGAGAGAGUCCAAUGAAGGGCCACAAAGAUUAUUAGGGGCCUGAAGUAUCUCCCUUCUGAGGAAAGGAUGAGACUGAGAAUCAUAGAAUCAUAGAAUCACCAAGGUUGGAAAAGACCUCCAAAGAUCAUCCAGUCGAAUCAUCCACAUAACACCAAUAUUUCCCACUAAACUGUGUCCUUCAGUGCAACAUCUAAAUGUUUCUUGCCUGUUCUUGCCUUCAGUGCAACAUCUAAAUGUUUCUUGCCUUCACCAGCCUGUUCCAGUGUCUGACCACUCCCUUGGUGAAGAAGUAUUUCCUUAUGUCCAACCUGAGAGAGAUUGGGAAUGUUCAGCCUGGAGAAGAGGAGACUGGGUGGUGAUCUUAUCCACCCUUACAAAUAUCGAAAGCACAGUUUCAAGUGGAUGGAGCUAGGCUAAUCUUUUCAGUGAUACCAAGUGACAGGACAAAGGGCAAUGAGAACAAACUGGAACAGAGGAAGUUCCAUAUGAUCAUGGGGAAAAACUUUUUUUACUUUGAGGAUUAUGGAGCACUGCUCAGAGAGGUUGUAGAGUCUUCUUCUCUGGAGAUAUUGAAAACCUGCCAGGACACUUCCCUAUGGAAGAGCCUGCUUCAACAAGGAUUUGAACUAGGUGAUCUCCAGAGGUCUCUUCCAACUGCUACAAUUCUGUGAUCCUGUGAUUCUUGAUCCUUGCAAGGAAGGCAAUCAUCAGAAAGUCUAUGUUUGACUUUUGUUUUGUUUGCACGGUAAAUAAUUGGCAGGUGUUGUAUUAGGCAUUGGCGGGGACUCGAGAUGAAACGGGAUGUUGGCCCCCCCCUUGCUGUAACAGGCAAGGACGAACUGUCCUGGGAGAGACGGUAAACAACUUGGAGGAACUUAUCUAAGGAAAAUACGCGGGUAUGAAGGAUGGAUAAGCGCAACCAACAGCAAGUUGCUCAGCAAGCAUUAGGCAAUCCCGCCCACCAAUCAGGAACGGUCACGCUGACUCAGCAUAAUGACGCGCGUACAGAUGUUGUCAGUAUUAACAAAGAUGUACUUAAAGGCUUUUACGAACCCAAUAAACGCCAUUUGCUGCAUCCUCA